rnacentral:rRNA from 1 species
AUGAACGCUAGGGGCAUGCUUAACACAUGCAAGUCGAACGAUUCUAACAUUUUGUUUACAAAAUGUAAGGAAAGUGGCGGACGGGUGAGUAACGCGUAAGAACUUACCCCUAGGAGGGGAAUAACUGCUAGAAAUGGUAGCUAAUACCCCAUAAGCUGAGGAGUAAAAUGGAAUAUUCCGCCUAGGGAUAGGCUUGCGUCUGAUUAGCUAGUUGGUAAAGUAAUGGUUUACCAAGGCAACGAUCAGUAGCUGGUCUGAGAGGAUGAUCAGCCACACUGGGACUGAGACACGGCCCAGACUCCUACGGGAGGCAGCAGUGAGGAAUUUUCCGCAAUGGGCGAAAGCCUGACGGAGCAAUGCCGCGUGGAGGAGGAAGGCCCGAGGGUUGUAAACUCCUUUUCUCAGAAAAGAAGAUCUGACGGUAUCUGAGGAAUAAGCAUCGGCUAACUCCGU